rnacentral:misc_RNA from 1 species
UCCGGUUUGUCACCGGCGGUCUCCUUAGAGUGCCCAACUUAAUGCUGGCAACUAAAGACAAGGGUUGCGCUCGUUGCGGGACUUAACCCAACAUGUCACCACACGAGCUGACGACAGCCAUGCAGCACCUGUCUACAUGUCGUAUUGCUACGAAAGCUCUAUCUCUAGAGUUGUCAUGCGAUGUCAAAUCCAGGUAAGGUUCUUCGCGUUGCUUCGAAUUAAACCACAUGAUCCACCGCUUGUGCGGGCCCCCGUCAAUUCCUUUGAGUUUUAGUCUUGCGACCGUACUUCCCAGGCGGGGUACUUAUUGCGUUAGCGCCGGUUCGGCGGGGGUCAAGACCCACCAAACCUAGUACCCAUCGUUUACAGCGUGGACUAC